UGACUGGGCGAAGGACCAGGCUGAGACUGAUUAGGUCGUAUUCUUGACCUCGUUUCCAUGUUUCCGUGAACGCUGUCUGAGCGGGUUUCAGAACCUGCUCUGCCCCUCGAAGCUGCCUGAGGUGCGCAUCAUGUCUUGCUUUGGUUGUCUGUGGUCACAUACAUUCUGCUGAGUUUAAUUUGACUAAAGGACAAGGAUAAGGAAUUUUCCUUUCAGCAGUUUUGCGUGGUCAGCGGGGUCUGACCUGGAAGCAUCCAGUCACCGAGCACAAAGACUUCGGAGCCCGCGGUGCUGUUUUUUGUGGCAGCUGGGGAUUGUGGUUUGCUACUUAGACAGCUGUUGAAAACCAACCUGAGACUUCAGAUUCAUUCUAAUUUCCUACAGCUUACCGUCAUUGAUAAUUCCGACCAAGAGUAAAACAUCAGACUAUACUGACACUUCAUAAAGCAACGGAAGACUACAUACACAUCAAUGAGGUCACUGUUGUUCAUUACGGACAUCUGGCGUUGGCAAAAUGUUAUCAAAAACUGCUAAGUUUCUGAAAUUUUUAUUUGAAAAGAGUCUUCGAAUAUUGAGGUUUUUGCUGUUGCUGAGCUGAAACUGCAAUGCUCUUCAUCAGAACUGCAAAUGACGGGCUGCUCCCUGGCUUUGCAAGCCCCACUGUGUUAUAAAGACCUGGUCCAAGCCUCCUCGCUCUUUUCCAGCCCUUCCUCUAGGCUACAUACCAUGGCACUUAAAUUCUACUUCCAACAGCUUUGCUUUUGAUUUGACACUAUGAUCAAAGCUGAUAAACUUCUGAAGUAAGACAGGAAAGACAGACUUUUAUCAAAAGCAAUUUUAUAAACACAACUAUAUGCAAAUUUACAACAGCAAAAAGUGUGCAGGUAGGCCAGGGAUUUAGCUCAGUGAUUCCACUGCCUGCCUUGCAAGCACAAGGUCCUGAGUUUGAUCCCUGGUACCAAAAAAAGAAAAAACAAGUGUGCAUAUACCAAGCUGACUAAAGAAAUUACACUGGGUUGUGACAGGCCACCUGUGUCACCUAACAUCUGCGAUGAGGCCAAACUGAAAUCACGUAAAAGGAAAAAAUAUCCAUUUGGUCUUCAAAGUUUAUUUUAAUGAUUUAUGAGUUAAAAACUAUCUUUUAGGGGGAGAAAAAGCUUAUAUACUGUAAGCGAAAAAAACUGAUGUGGGUCCAAAAAGCAUAGAAGAAAGAUGUCACUAUUUUCUCUUAAUUUGUCGCUGGAUUUCAAAGAGACAUGGGAAACAAGAAAUGUGGGGACUGUAGCAAAUGUAAGUACAGGAAAAUAACUGGUAGGCAUGGAGCCAUCUGGAGUGAGUUAGUGGAGGGAAGAAGCUGGAGAGUGCUGAGGACCACACUCCGAUUUCCAGCAGGCUCGGCUCACAGAGGGUUCUACCAAGCGCCAGCUCCUCUGCUCCCCUUGCCUUUCCCGGAGCAAGCUGAGACGUGUUUGCCAUUUCCCCCAAGAAGGGUCACCCACAAGGAAUCAGCCCUAAUCAGCAGAUCGUUCUGAAAAGAUUGCUUGUGGCUAUGAGAGAAAAUAGAGUCCUGGAUGGGAAAGUCAGGAGACUCGGCCAAAGGACGUGGGUUCAAACCUACAUCUUCACUGUCCUAGACUGCAAGUCAUUUCACCUUUCCGAGCCUCAGCCCUGCACUCUGAAAGGCAGGUGUCAGCUCCUACAGGAUGGCCUGUCAGGUAAGACAGUCAGAAGGAGAGUGUUUAAAGACAGGUGCUGAGGGGAAACAUCUCUGCAACAGAAAAGGAUAUGCUGAAUAAGACAGAUGCUUACUUUAUAGAAAUUUUAAAAUAGAAAAUAUAAAUAUACUAAAAAUAGGAAAAAACUAAUGACACAAAUAACUUGGGAACUGGUCAGUGUAUUGGAAAAACUAAAGCACCGUUUUAUAUAUAGCUGGGGGAACAAUUUGUAUCGAAGUUAUUUGUCUUGAAGUCAAGCCUACAAACAUCUGAGGUUUAUAAAGUAAAAUACAGGUUAUUUUCUUCUUACUGAUUCAUGAACUUUUAAUAAUCUGUUGCCUAAUUACAUUAAUAAGGUAACAAGCCUUAAUAAAUUAAACAUUGACAAUGUGGCUGAAUAUCCAUUUCCCUCAACUAUGUCAGAGGCUUUUAACAUGUGUCCUGAGGCUGUACUUUAGCUAGAGAGAGCUGCUGGGGUAUUGAAACUAGCUGUUUGAAUUUUUUUCCAAAAACUUCCUCUACUUCUUUUUCUAAUUUGAAAUGAUCUCCCAAAGCAUUUUUGGUGCUCAAAUACAUUGAAAACGCUGCAUAUUCAAUUGCAUAUCUCCCCCAAUAGAUUCCCAGUGCACAUUAGCCAAAAAAUGGUGCCACGAAGCUCUGUGGUAUCAUUUCUCUAACAUCUGACCUGCAUCUCUGUUUCCUGAAUGGUUCUUAAUAUCCACUGGGGUUGCUGCCCAUCCCUCCACAUUCUGGGAACUGCAACAUUUCCCCUCAAAUGAGGGAUGAGGAGGGAGUGCCAAUUUUUUGUGCUGAGAACAUGAAAAAAUCAACUACAGUUUUAUGAAACAAAGACUAAAAUGAGUGGAAUCCUUUGGAAACUGCAAAGGCUCUGCUGAGAGAUGUAAGCUAAUUUUACAAUGAUGCCUAAUCAGUUGCCUAGAGAGAGAAAAUAAAUGGCCACUAAUGAAAAAGAGCUGCCUUUCCCACAAGGGGAAAAAAAAAAAUCUAAUCUCUUACUUCAUCCAUGAGAAGGAACCAGCCUGGAAUUUCUGAAACAACCUGCCCCGCAUACCACACUCUCUCAGCAGCCUCCACCAAGGCCACUGAGCCCACUGGGGACAACAGGUGUGGCAGUUUCCAAGGCUCUGCCACCUUCCUUCUGGGUCUCUUCUUCCCCUGAGAAGCCACUUCCUUGCUGAGGGACUACAGGCAGCAAGGGCUCUUUGAACCCCCUGGGUACAUAAUUCUCAGCCUUUUUACCACACUACCCACCUGCAUGCUUACACAGGAUAAGGCAAGGCUCUCAGUAUAUUGUAAACUAUAAUUAACAGGAUAAAAUAUUGAUUUAGCAGCUGUUUGAGUGGAUUUUUAUGUUAGACAUUCAUUUUGCAUCUAAUAAUAAUUUUAUUUUUAUUCCCAGCCAACUCAGAACUAUGCCGUUUGUUCAUUAACAAUGAGUGAGCAGUGGGACCGUGGUGGUGAGCGGACUUCUUGGGACUAAGGGCCCAGAGAGGGGGAUUUAUGGGUAGUCUCGAAAGCACCAAAACGGCACCUUUCAUCCCAGGGGCUAAGCUCUGUGGACAUCAAAUGUGGAUCUGAAAUUUUCAGCAUAUCUGGGGGGCACACCCAGAGGUAAAUAGGUCCCACAGUUGGAUAGUCCCUGGUCUGUGGCUAAGCAACCAUACGCUGCAUGUGCAUAAGUGGGAAAAGAAGAUCUGGAAAAUUUUCAACAGAGGCCAAAGGAGCCAAUGACAGUGUUGUAUAAGAGAAGGAAAUCCUGCAUUGCUCUCUGAUGCACUGUGGUCGAAUGUGAAAAGGAGGUCUGGGUCUUGCAAUGCUUGGUCCAGAAACUAUGACAUGUGUUGGGGCAGGAACCAGAAGACCAGAGACAACUAGUGACGACAUUGUAUUAAAAAGUUGUCUCUCUUCAAAACUUCACAUUUAAUUCCCUUUCCUCCGGUUAUGUAUGGUGUGAGUUUUGAAAAUGAAGAUUAUUUUCUACCAAUAUGAAGGUACUGUAAACUGAUUAGAAUAUUUAAAACACUAGUUCUAAUCUGUCAUGUGAUAGUUUUAUUUUGUUUCUUGUGUUUAUUACACAUUACUAAUACAUUCUUUCAACACUACUCAAAAACCCUUCUCUAUUGUGCUGUGAAAUGUUUUUCACAUAUUAAUCUUUUUCAUAUGUUAAACUCUUUUCACAUUUGAAACUCUUAUACAAAAUGGGCUUGAAAUUGUGUUACUUUAUACUAAAACCUACAUCAGUCCUUACACAAUCCGCAUCAUUUCUUUGUUUACGGGGACCAAAAUUAAAAAUAAAGCUACUUACUUAGAAGAUAAACAGUUUCUUCUACAAAGUUUCUCUGUUGACAGAUUUCAAGAGCCUUCAAAUGAAGCAAGGUAAAAAUGUCACUAUGGGCUACCAGACAAGAACAAAUAUUGAUAGAGUCACUUAACAAGCUUGAAAAUGUGUUUCCAUGCUUUCCUUUAACAACAAAAGCAAGCAAAAAGGAUAAAUCUCCGUGGCUCUUGCUGCUAGCCAUACUCAUUUACCUCACAGAGAAUUCCUGAACCCCACACACUUUAACUGAUAAGGUACUUACAGCAACAAAGAACACAUUAGAUGAUCAAAGGCAGAAAAUAAGAUGCUGAGAGGAAGUGCUUUUCCUGCUCUGCUUUCUCUUCAUAUUACUUUAACUUUAGAGCAUUGCUUUCCAUCAAAUGUAGUCAUUUGUUUAAAAUGUUUCCUUCCAUUACAACAUAAGCUCCAAGAAAGGAAUGCUGUUCACAGUAACAUUUUCCUGAUACUGAGCAGGACCAUCUGCUCUGUAAACUUAAGUUGCAUGCAUGCAUGAGUGAAUGAAUAAGUCAAUCAAUCAAUCAUUCAAUCUACUGGGAAUAUUUCUGUUGCCAGCUCAUAGGGUGUGAGAACACUGUUCGUGGAUCUUUGAAAAUCAACAGGGAAGAUGUAUCUGAUCAUCACGAAGGAUCAAAAAAGAAGAUCCAGUAAAGAAAUGAGGACUAGGCCGAUGACAGUUUUCCCGUGGAUGUAAGAGAGGGCACCUCAUGUGUUGAUAACUCAGUACCUCCAAACAAACUGAUGCUCAUUUACUAUGUGCUCUGUGCUAGAGUGUCAAGUUACACAGAUACGAAAGUGACAUCAAUAAUAAAAAUAGGGAUGAUGACAGGUGAGUAGAGAACAAGAGGAGGCACAGAGGAGGAGCAGAGGCAGACUGAGUCCACCCAGGGGCAGCAGGGAGGGUGACAGAGAUGUGACCACACAUUGUUCCACAAUCAGCAGAACAUGAGGGACGACACAGAGAAGGGAAAUGAUUGUCUUGCAAGAAGCUCCAGAGGAGAGAUGGCACCUGAAUUGGAUGCUGUCCCACAAGCACAGAGGACCUUGCAGCCCCUCUACAUGACUUCUCAGGGCUAAGUAUCUUCACAGUGAGCCACAGCUCCACACUGCGUUCCCAAACAGCGGCUUGAUCCUAAGCCUUCCCUCUUCCUGCCUACGGGACACAGCUUCAUCGCCAGCCUCCAUCAUGCAGCAACUCACUGAAUUUCCCUUUGCUGGGAAUGCGUGCACGCUGAGCCUAUGCUUUGCCUCAUGCCUGGCCCACAGCAGGUGUGCAAUAAAUCUUUUUUUUAAUGAAGGGUCAGUAAAGGUUUCCAGAGCAAGGUGCCUAUUACAUAUUGAGGAGUAGUCAUUUAAAAACAUCUAGCCAAGAUGGUUUUAAAAACAAGAAUCAAAAAGAACAGCUCAAGUUAAUUAGCUCUGCUCAGCGAUCUAUCUUGGGAAAUAACAGCAGGAACUGAUUUUGAUAUUUUGAUUUUUGACUUAAAAUUCUUCCUGGAGGCUAUAUAUUUUAAACUAGCUAUAGGGCAGGAAAAAGGCUGAUCACAGAGAUCAGUGUAGCAAAAAAAAGGGAAAAAGAAAAGCAAGCAUCACUGUAAUUUAGAAUUGGAAGGAAACCAGGAACGUUUUACAGUCCACACAUCAUUUAGAUUAGAAGGAAUAACUGAAGGUCCCAAGGAGGAAGAAACACAUCAUUUGAUGACUUUACAAGAUCCCUUUAAACAUCAGGUGGUAGAAACAGAAUGAAGAGACCCCUACAGAAUGGGAAAAAUUUUUUUCCAGGUACUGCUCAAAGAACUGCUAUCUAGAAUAUAUAAAGGACUCAAAAAAUGGGCAUCUGAAAUGAACAGACAUUUCUCAGAUGAACAAGUGCCAAAAGCCAAUAAAUACAUUAAAAAAUGUUCAACACUGUUGGCCAUUCAGAAAUGCAAAUUAACAUUCAGUUUCCAUCUUAAGAAAGAACAGCUAUCUUCAAGAAAUCUACCAAUAACAUGCUGAAGAGGCUGCAGGGGAAAAAGGAACCCUUCUUCAUUGCUGGUGGGAAUGUAAACUGGCACAAUCCUAUGGAAAACAGAAUGGAGAUUCCUCAAAAGACUAAAACUAGAAAUUCCUUUUGACCCAGCUAUUCCCCUUCCAGUUAUCUGCCCAAAAUACUUAAAGACAUCAUGUCACAGUGAUGUAUGCAUGUCCAUGUUUAUAGCAGCACAAUUCAUAAUAGCUAAGCCUUGGAAGCAGCCUAUAUGUCCAUCAACAGAUGAAUGGGUAAAGAAAAUGUGGUAUUUAUACACAAUGGAGUUCUACUCUGCCAUAGAAAAGGAUAAACUAGUCAUUGGUAAGAAAAUGGAUGCAUCUUGAGACUACAAUGUUAAGUAAAGUAAAUAAGACACACAAGCUUAAAUAUCUCAGUUUCUCUUAUAUAAGAAAUCUAAUAUAUAAAGUGCAAAAUAAAGACAGACAAUAGGAAAAAAGAGAAA